UGUGUGUGUGUGUGUGUGUGUGUGUGUGUGUGUGUGUGUGUGUGUGUGUGUGUGUGUGUGUGUGUGUGUGUGUGUGUGUGUGUGUGUGUGUGUUUGUUUCACAAGUAGGUCGUUUCGGAUAGACUUGUAAGUAGUUUUUUUGUGUUUUGGGUUAGGUUUUUGGUGUGAUAAGCAGGACCACCGCCCUCGCGAUCAGUGUGUUUUCGAUAUAUUAACAAUGUUACGGUCUUCUUUCACACUGUGAACACUGUGCAUUGCGUCUUCUAACCGAAAGAGGUUCAAGGCCUAGAAGACGGCACCGCGCAGCAUACGGAGGAAGAUUAUUGCGAUCCUGCCAGGGAAGUAGGCGUAGGGCAUAUCUCGUGAGCUUACGUUGAAUCGCCUCAAUUCGAGCAAUUGAAGAAGCGGUAGUUGGGCUCCAGACUACGCACGAAUAUUCCAGAACCGAACGAACGAUACAGUUGUACACAGCUUUGAUGCACAUGGGGUUGCGGAAUUCAUUAGUUGUCCGGAUAACCACGCCAAGUAAUUGAUUUCCUCUGGCUACAACGUCAUCGAUAUGCUGUUUAAAGUUCAAACUAGAGUCAAGCAGAACGCCCAGGUCUUUGGCAUGAUUCUGUCGAUUAACUGCAGUGCCGUCCAUGAAGUAGGUCCCAGUCACUGGGCUCCUGCAUCGACUAAAAGACACACAGUAGCAUUUCUCGAUGCAGAUAGUCAGUCCAUUACGCUUGCACCACGAACAGAAAAUUUCGAUGCAGUCUUGCAGGAAUGUACAAUCACCUGUGUUGUUAAUAGGCGCAAAAAUUUUUGCGUCGUCGGCAAACAGACUGAUACUGUCGGGAGGUAAAGCGAGGGUAACAUCGUUGAUAAACAAUAUGAAGAGAAGCGGGACAAUAUGAAGAGACAAUAUGUCUGAUCGCUCCAAGCUACCGACAACGUCUGUUUAUUUUAUGUUGUUCAUAGUUUUUGUUUUAGUAAGAUAGUCAGUUCUUGUAACAAAAAGACAAUAAACGUGUUUUUUUUAUAAACAGAAAUUAUUGUUGUAAACAGAAAUGAGCUGGUAAAAUAACACGCCGAAUAACUUUCCUGCAAUGACAUCAAAGAGUUAAUAUAAUAUGUAAUAUAAGUAACAAAUAUUGUAAUAAUAAUAAAUAUAACAAAUAUAACAAUUAUAACAAAAAUAAUAUGUAUAAAUUUAAUGCUUAUUACUUUUUUUGCAUGUAUUUUUUUCUUGAAGAUUGGCGAAGCAGCAAAAUUAAAACCGCUAGAAGUGGAUUUGAAACGAUUAGAGGAUUUGUCCGAUGCAAUUGUUCAAGAUUUUGCAUUGAUGAGAAAACGGGAAGAAGAAAUGCGCGACACUAACGAAUCAACAAACAGUCGAGUCCUUUUCUUUAGCAUUUUUAGCAUGAGUUGUUUGUUGGGGCUCGCAACAUGGCAGGUGCUAUAUUUGAGACGCUACUUUAUCGCGAAGAAAUUAAUUUAAACAUGUAUGCAGUUGGACUGUCUUACAUCUUGAUGUGGCUGCAUUAAAUAAAUAAAUAAUUGAAAUAACAAGUUGCAUUAUUCACAUUUGAAGAAUUUUUUAGUUCACUUUAUUUUUUUUAUAGAGGCUUUGAACCGACCGACUUCAUUCGCCUGUUUUAAUCGGUAAAUUAAUUCUGUACUUAAAAUCGAACAUCCUUUUUGGCAAGCCAUUUGUGGCUUGCAAUUAUCUUAUACCUCGGAUAAGAGCUCGGGUAGUCUCGGAUUAUUUAAAACUAUCCGUUUAUUUUAAUAAAAAUGUUUGCCUAUUUCA